rnacentral:rRNA from 1 species
GUGAAGAAACCCAAGUCUGGACCUAAGCCUGAAACUGAGUGCUUCUACUGCAAGCAGACUGGACACUGGAAGCGGAACUGCCCCAAGUAUUUGGCGGAUAAGAAGGAUGGCAAAGUGAACAAAGGUAUAUGUGAUAUACAUGUUAUUGAUGUGUACCUUACUAAUGCUCGCAGUAGCACCUGGGUAUUUGAUACUGGUUCUGUUGCUAACAUUUGCAACUCGAAACAGGGACUACGGAUUAAGCGAAGAUUAGCUAAGGACGAGGUGACGAUGUCAUAUCGGUGUAAAACGCAUGAAGAAACUCCAUACUGA